AAUAGCGUACUCUACUUUGAUUAUUUUUUUAUUUUUUGUAAAAAGUGUGGACCGCGUAGGUCAUAUUUUCAUUUCUUAAAAUGGACCCUGAGCUAAACUAAUUGGUGACCCCUAGGUCUAUAUUUUUAUUAAUAAGAGGUAGGAGCUUUACAUUGUGUGCUUUACAUAUUUGUGUGUAUCGGUAUAGUGUGCUAUAUAAUAUUACGGUGUUUUGGUAAUCUCAACAUUACUGUUAGUUCCAUAUUCGUAAUAUUUUUGAUAUUAUGCACAGCCUCUUUACGUAGGUCCAUUAUGAACAUAUACGCAGGAGAUCAUGAAUCUGCAGUAGGCAUUUAUUAUUGACUUUGAUUCCACUUGGUUCUAUUGUGCAUACAGUGUCCGCUGUUAGGUACCUAUCUUAUCAUGGUUUUUCAUCAUAACCCAACGUAAAGAGAUGCCUUAAACGUAAUUAAUAAUUACAUUGUCUAUUUAAACUUAUUUUAUCUCGGAGCUAUUAAGAAAGAUCUUUGUGUCCUUGCAUAGAGGUCCUGUCGAGCAUAAAAAUUAAAAAAGUUUACAGUUAUUUUGAGGACCUUGUAGCCGUACGUUUGAAAUGCAAUACAUAUUAAGUAUAUGAAUUGGCAACGAUCAGUUUUCUGAUCUUAAUGUUGUCUGAUUGACCUCAAUGUAAUGUUAGUCUAUGCUAAAUUACUUAUCUUUUUUAUAAAAUAAUUUUAGCAUAGUUUUUUCAUCACACAAGGCAGCCACAUAGCACUUCUAGUAUAUUACAGUCAGCAUCAGUUUGACAUAGUCAUAUAGAUCGGACUUAUGUUCGCUAUAAGAUCUCAUAUUAUAUAUCAGUUAUCACAUAGAUAUUAUCCUCAUAAUACUUAAGAAUCAAAAUAUGUAAGAUCAAAUUCUGUAGUUAGAAGACAUGAGGCAAGAGUAUCAAGUAAGUCAAGUAGAAAGGAUAUGUAAUUUGUCGUUAUUAUAUGGGGCUAUAUCAAAUAUUUAGCAUAAAAUGCAAACUAUAAUAUAUUUAUCUCGAAUAUAUACGUAGUUAUAUUAACUAUUUCUAUGAUAUAUUUUGUGUUGUUUGUUAAAAAAUAAAAAUAGUUAUCAUACAACUUUCUAAAAUAUCUUAAAUGCAGAUGUGAUUUUUUUAUUUAAGCAAGGCAAGUUAUUGGCACCUCGAUUUUUAAAACACCACAUUGUCAAAAAAUAAUGCCUAUAAAGUCCUUAGGGCGGCCUUACCUAGCCUAUAUUAUAACAGCUUUGCCUACGCAACUUAUAGGUGGGUAUAGGAUAUCAGCUGUAUUUUUAGGCCAACAAAAUAUUACUAAUUUCUGUUAAAACUGGUUAAAUUGGAACUAUUUUACUUAUACUUAAGUGACGGAUAUUUUUAUAUUAAAAUGAGUCCAUUAUAAUAAUAAGAAUAUGAAGUAUAAACAAUAAACGUUAAUGUUAAUGUA